GCGACCCCAGCUCAGGCGAGAACACCC
rnacentral:rRNA from 2 species